AUUUUUGACAAUGAGAGAAACCCUGAUCAAGCAACGCCGCGUGGAUGAUGAAGUAUCUCGGUACGUAAAAUCCUUUCGACAGGGAAGAAACCUUCGGGUUGACGGUACCUGUAGAAGAAGCCCCGGCUAACUCCGUGCCAGCAGCCGCGGUAAUACGGAGGGGGCUAGCGUUGUUCGGAAUUACUGGGCGUAAAGGGCGCGUAGGCGGGCGCUUAAGUCGGGGGUGAAAUCCCGGGGCUCAACCCCGGAACUGCCUCCGAUACUGGGUGCCUUGAGGACGGGAGAGGUGAGCGGAAUUCCGAGUGUAGAGGUGAAAUUCGUAGAUAUUCGGAGGAACACCGGUGGCGAAGGCGGCUCACUGGCCCGAUCCUGACGCUGAGGCGCGAAAGCGUGGGGAGCAAAC
rnacentral:rRNA from 1 species